rnacentral:lncRNA from 1 species
CAAACCCCAAAGCCAUUACAAACGUUCAACUCUCCCCCCCCCCCCCCAUUUCAAUGAAUAAUAAACAAACAUGCUGAUUAUACUACGACUUUAACCAGGACUUUUAUACAGACUUAAUACCAUCAUCAUGAGCUACGGAACAUAUACCCCUGAACAACUUCAUUAACCAAACACUAUCACAACAAACUUAAACAUAACAAGGAAGAAAUGGACAGGAAGAAAUAGAGUGAAAGCUGAAUAACCUAAAAAAAUAUAGAAACUAAAGCCCCAAACAAAAUAAUCCUCAUUGACUUCAGUAGAAACAUAUCUUCCAUAUAAAACAUAUUCAAGCUCCAUUUGCCAUUCAAGGUUCAAAGGAAUACCUGGAAUAAUAAAAAACAAAUAGCAGAAACUUUCAGCAAAGAAAUUAAAAUAUCAGCAGCUUCUAAACAGCAACAAACAACAGUUCAUCAAUCAGUUUUUUAUGUCUUGAACCCAGAAGAAAAUAGCAAUUUUUCUAGCCUUUAAAACCCAAGAAACAUGAAAAAAUAGCUACAACAGACCAGUAUUUGCCAAUUUUUUGUGUUUUCUUGCUAAUUUCUAAACUUUAGUAGUGAGUGUACCCUUCAGCCGUUUCUAGUUAUUUAGUCUUG